AUUGAACGCUGGCGGCAUGCUUUACACAUGCAAGUCGAACGGUAACAGGCCGCAAGGUGCUGACGAGUGGCGAACGGGUGAGUAAUACAUCGGAACGUGCCCGAGAGUGGGGGAUAACGAGGCGAAAGCUUUGCUAAUACCGCAUACGAUCUCAGGAUGAAAGCAGGGGACCGCAAGGCCUUGCGCUCACGGAGCGGCCGAUGGCAGAUUAGGUAGUUGGUGGGAUAAAAGCUUACCAAGCCGACGAUCUGUAGCUGGUCUGAGAGGACGACCAGCCACACUGGGACUGAGACACGGCCCAGACUCCUACGGGAGGCAGCAGUGGGGAAUUUUGGACAAUGGGCGCAAGCCUGAUCCAGCCAUGCCGCGUGCAGGAUGAAGGCCUUCGGGUUGUAAACUGCUUUUGUACGGAACGAAAAGACUCCUUCUAAUAAAGGGGGUCCAUGACGGUACCGUAAGAAUAAGCACCGGCUAACUACGUGCCAGCCGCCGCCGUAAAAC
rnacentral:rRNA from 1 species